rnacentral:rRNA from 1 species
AGCAGCCGCGGUAAUUCCAGCUCCAAUAGCGUAUAUUAAAGUUGUUGCAGUUAAAAAGCUCGUAGUUGAAUUUCGGGAUCAAUAUGUCGGUCGUGCCUCGGUACGUACUGGUAUCAUUGGUUUCUCCCUUCUGAUGAACCAUGAUGCCAUUAAUUUGGUGUCGUGGGGAAUCAGGACUGUUACUUUGAAAAAAUUAGAGUGUUUAAAGCAGGCGCACGCUUGAAUACAUUAGCAUGGAAUAAUGAAAUAGGACGUUUGAUUCUAUUUUGUUGGUUUCUAGGAUCGACGUAAUGAUUAAUAGGGAUAGUUGGGGGCAUUAGUAUUCAAUUGUCAGAGGUGAAAUUCUUGGAUUUAUUGAAGACUAACUACUGCGAAAGCAUUUGCCAAGGAUGUUUUCAUUAAUCAAGAACGAAAGUUAGGGGAUCGAAGACGAUCAGAUACCGUCGUAGUCUUAACCAUAAACUAUGCCGACUAGGGAUCGGAUGAUGUUAAUUUUUAAUGA